rnacentral:rRNA from 1 species
CAACUUUCAACAACGGAUCUCUUGGUUCUGGCAUCGAUGAAGAACGCAGCGAAAUGCGAUAAGUAGUGUGAAUUGCAGAAUUCAGUGAAUCAUCGAAUCUUUGAACGCACAUUGCGCCGUUUGGUAUUCCAAAGGGCAUGCCUGUUCGAGCGUCAUUUG